AACGAGUUGAACUCAUUUGUUGGGUGCUAGGGUUAUGUUCUCUCUUUUUCCUCGGUGAAGUUCUUGCCAUUGACGUCCAAUACAUGAGCAUCACCCAGUCCACACCUCCCGCUACACCUUUGGUGCUGCUCUAGCUCGUUAGCCCCCCAUCCUAGGCAUAAACUUCAUCAUCCAAGUGCCCAACUCAGGAUUCUUUGCGGCACACGGCCGCCUCGGCCUCAUCUCGGUUGUCGACAACCACAUAAAAGUAUGAUCUAUUACAUGAAGAUUAUCAACUUUAUCUUCUUCCAAGCAUUUUGGAAUCCAAAAAGUUAGCUAAAUCUGGACGAGCGAAACAAAAGUAUGCAGAUUUGGAAUAUAAUGUGGCAAAACAAGUUGAGAAGAUGAUAAGGCACAUGAAGAAGUGAAUGGAGCGAAUUCGUCUACUCCUAUUAAUUCCGGCCGUGAGGAGAAGACAGACUUGCAGUGGGCUUGUUUUAGUUCUAGCAGCGAGACCGCCCUUCUUCGGUAGUAACAGCGGCGUUGAAUUGAGGACUUUGACCCGAGACGAGUAUCUCGGAGUCAGAUUGGACCUUUCUAUUUUCGGAGGCG